rnacentral:rRNA from 1 species
CCUACGGGAGGCAGCAGUGGGGAAUAUUGCGCAAUGGGCGAAAGCCUGACGCAGCGACGCCGCGUGAGGGAUGAAGGUCUUCGGAUCGUAAACCUCUGUCAGCAGGGAAGAACGGUCACUGUGCUAAUCAGCAGUGAAUUGACGGUACCUGCAAAGGAAGCACCGGCUAACUCCGUGCCAGCAGCCGCGGUAAUACGGAGGGUGCGAGCGUUAAUCGGAAUUACUGGGCGUAAAGCGCUCGUAGGCGGUAUGUCAAGGCAAGGGGGAAAUCCCCGCGCUAAACGUGGGAACUGCCUUUGAAACUGGCAAACUGGAGUGUGUGAGAGGAUAGUGGAAUUCCAGGUGUAGGAGUGAAAUCCGUAGAUAUCUGGAGGAACAUCAGUGGCGAAGGCGACUAUCUGGCACAUAACUGACGCUGAGGAGCGAAAGCGUGGGUAGCAAACAGGAUUAGAUACCCCUGUAGUC